AAAAAUCCUGCUUUUAGGAUUGCAUGGUGACAUGUCUAAAGUGUCAAGGUCAUGUCCAGACACGUGACCUGUUGCCGUCACUGUCACAUGGCAUACCAGGCAUAAACAUGUCUACACGGUAACUGCCAUGCUUUCUUGUCCACACAGCCCGCGCCUAAGAUUGGUUGGGCUGAUGUUCCGGUUGCCCCGGCAACAUGGCCGAAGAAACAGAAAAAGUGAGAAGGUGUCUGCCAGGCUAGGGGAGUCUGCCGGGACACUACUCAUGAGUUCCUGGAAGAAGUACAGAUCCCAGGUCCUGGUGGCCAAAUGCUGGGGGGGAAACUAUGUUGUGGUGAACGAGGCAAAAACCAAACUAAACCAAGGCGAUGCCAAAGCCGUAUGUGAUGCCAAGGGUUAUUACCCAAUGAUGAGGGCUAUCCUGAAAUGCCUACUCAAGGAGUUCAUGUUUGCAACCAACUGGUUCAUCUGGCAGAAAGGGUACUUACGUGUUGCCAGGAUGGAGGCUGAGCUCUGUGACCUCUCCCCUAGGAGGGAUGGUCCUGGAAAAAGCCCGCAGCUCGCCUGGAGGGAGGUCGAGGCAGCGUGUAGGCGGAGAGGACGGCAGGACCCGGAAACGUGCCUUUGUUAAGAUCUGUGAAGGCAGUGCUUUGGGGUUCCCGAGCUACGGUCGGAUUGGUCAGUUCAAAAAAGCAUGAGCCGUUGGUAAGUUUCAGGGCCACCCGAGGGGAAGACCCUGGGAGUCUGGGGGGACUUGCUCACCAGGGCCGCUGGGCGGCUCACAUCAGAAACUUGCACUUUGGGGGCGCCUGGGUAGCUCUUGAUUUUGGUUGGCUCGGGUCAUGAACUCACGUUUCAGGAGAUCGAACCCCACGUUGAGCUCUGUGCUGAAUGCGGUGAGCCCGCUUGGGAUUCUGUCUCCCUCUCUUUCUCUCCGCCCGUUCCCCACGCAUUCCCUCUCUCUCUUUCAAAAUAAAUCAACUUAAAAAAAAGAAAAACAAUGACACCACCUCCACCUGCUCGUCUUCCUGAGGGCUGCUAUCUAGGACAUCCGCUCGCGUGAGGGACUAGUGUCAAAGGCCCCACAGGCCACUGGGCCAAACAAAAUGGAUGCUGAGGCAGCACCAUCACUGAGGACUUCAGCUCAACUCUUUUUUUAUUUUUUUUAAUGUUUAUUUUUUUGAGAGAGAAAGAGAGAGAGCAUGAGCAGGGGAGGGGCAGAGAGAGAGGGAGACACAGAAUCCGAAGCAGGCUCCGGGCUCCGAGCUGUCAGCACAGGGCCCGAGCGGGACUCGAACUCACGAGCUGUGAGACCAUGACCCGAGUCGAAGUCAGACGCUCAACCGACCGAGCCACCGAGACGCCCCGGCACAGCUCAACUCUUGACAGAUGCUUGUCCUUGCAAAACAUGAAGUGUAAUUCUCCUCCUCGUGAACGUGGACCCAGCUUAGUGGCUCACUUGUAUUGAAGAGAAAGCGGUGGAAAUGACACCUAAUGACUUUUGAGGCUGCGUUGGAAGAGACAAGACUGCUUCCAACAGCUCUCUCCCAGGCUCUUGACUUUGGAGCCCCGCGCUGCCCCGCAGCUGGUACCCGGGAGGGCCCACAAGCAGAGACCGUGCGAAAACAGAGAGGGCUGCUCAGGGAGCCCCAGCCGCUGGGAUCUUCCCAGUCAGCGGAGUCAGCAAGGCUUCAGGUGAUGUCCUGGCCCCAGCUGUGGUCCGACUGCACCCCUGGCGGGACCCCGGUGACAUCCGUGGAGCUGAACCCAGCGCAACUCGAGGACCACGAGCGGUAAUAAUCAUGGGUCAUCGCUACCAUUUUUAGCCACUCUGUUGUGUUGUUUACUGCCUGGGAGAGAGGCAGAGAAGAGGACAGCCAUGUGGGAGAGAAAUGCUGAGCCAAGAGAUGCCAGAAACGACCUGUGGGGGCUCCAGGGAGCCCUCCCAAGACCGCAGGAAUGCCUGCUCUGUGCUGUAUCUACUACGGGGUGACUGAAAAUCUCUUUUGACCCAAGAAAAGUCAGCCACUGGCGGCCUCAGGGUCCAAAUCAGCUUGGCGAGUCGGGAUGGAUUGUAGUUUUGUGACUGCCCCCCCUCCCCCCGCUCUCCUGGAACCUCCAGUUUAGAAAUUGGGUCUCGUCCUGAUAGCUCAGGGCUCGUCCGCAUUGCUGAAAGUGGGGAAUUAUCCCCGAUUGGCAGGUGCCUUGGCCCAGGCUUUGUGUGUGUGUCUCUCAGCCUCCCUCUUUCCCUCUGGCCGUGGGUGCCUUUUAUAGAAGCUGUAGCCCCAGGUGGUGGCCACCGCUUGUCCAGCUGCCCUUUCCUGCUGGUGAGCCUGACUCUGGCCCCCUCCCCUGCUGUUUUCCCACAGGGCUUGGACACCCUCUGUCCCUUCCCAAACUAGGAACAGUACUGGUCUUGUGCCCAGUAGCACUCAGUAAAUAUUCAAUGAAUAAAUAAAUCAUGUUUUUGAUAGCAGCUAUGUCUGUUUUGGCCUUAAGAAUAAUUUUGUUGUUGUUGCACCCGACUCGUGGUUUUGGUCGUGAUCUCGUGGUUCCUGAGAUCGAGCCCCACGUCAGGCUCUGAGCUGAUGGCUUGAA